CAGUCGCCACGGUAAUACGAAGGGGGCUAGCGUUGCUCGGAAUGACUGGGCGUAAAGGGCGCGUAGGCGGAUUGUACAGUCAGACGUGAAAUUCCUGGGCUCAACCUGGGGACUGCGUUUGAGACGUGCGAUCUAGAGUUUGGAAGAGGGUCGUGGAAUUCCCAGUGUAGAGGUGAAAUUCGUAGAUAUUGGGAAGAACACCGGUGGCGAAGGCGGCAACCUGGUCCUUGACUGACGCUGAGGCGCGAAGGCGUGGGGAGCAAACAGGAUUAGAUACCCCUGUAGUCCCUGUCUCUUAUAC
rnacentral:rRNA from 1 species